rnacentral:rRNA from 1 species
AUACGGAAGGUGCUAGCGUUAAUCGGGAUCACUGGGCGUAAAGCGCUCGUAGGUGGCUUUGUAGGUCAGGUGUGAAAGCCCACGGCUCAACCGUGGAAGUGCACUUGAUACUGCAUUGCUUGAGUUCGGGAGAGGGUAGUGGAAUUCCAGGUGUAGGAGUGAAAUCCGUAGAGAUCUGGAGGAACACCAGUGGCGAAGGCGACUACCUGGACCGAUACUGACACUGAGGAGCGAAAGCGUGGGGAGC